GACUCUCGGUUUGUGGGUCAAAAAUGUAAGAUUGUAGAGUGUAAAGUACAAUGAAGUUAACGUACUGCGCCUACCACUUGCAAAUGGUACAAGAGGAUCCAUAUAUUAGAAGACUCUAAACCAAGAGGAGCAAUGUGGGCAAUCAUUUUUAAUGAAGAUUGUUACACUUAAUUAAUUUGAGGUGAACUAGUGCAAAUCAAUGUUAUAUCAUACUAGAGAAAAUAGUUAUGAGAAUUUUUAUUUAUGAAUUCUUACUUGAGGAUCUUCUCUUUUUUUUUUUUUUUGAACGCUGCAUCAACUCUUACUUGAGGAUCUUCAUGGAUCAAAACACCCCUAUUCUACAAAAGGUCUUAGACCAAACUUGUGGUUGCCCCCCACAGAGAGCAAGCAGUAGUCAUUUGUCAAAAGUUUGUAUGUACAGUUGUAUAUUUUUUCUUGUUUACUAUAAACAUUAUUUUUGUCUGGCCGUAGAAAACAUUAAUAUUUUAGGGAAACUGUGCUUAUAGGGAUAGUUGCGACUUAUAUACAAGCCGAAAGAAACGACAACUAUACGAACUAGUACCUUUUUAUCUUUUUCAACUUGUUUUUUUUUUGUAACACCAUCUUUUUCAACUUGUUUGAAUCUAUGAAAACUACGCCUGUUGGAGACUAUUUUUAACAUAUUAGAUUUUCAAAAUAUAUAACUUCAAAUAUCAAAAAGGAAAACACUGCUUUCA
rnacentral:lncRNA from 1 species